GACGAACGCUGGUGGCGUGCUUAACACAUGCAAGUCGAACGGGAUUCCGUAAACAGCAGCCUCGGUGGAAGAUUACUAAUGAGAGUGGCGAACGGGUGAGUAACGCGUGAGCAACCUGCCUAUGACAGUGGGAUAGCCUCGGGAAACCGGGAUUAAUACCGCAUAAAAUCGUAGAAACACAUGUUUUAACGGUCAAAGAUUUAUCGGUCAUAGAUGGGCUCGCGUCUGAUUAGCUAGUUGGUGAGAUAACAGCCCACCAAGGCGACGAUCAGUAGCCGGUCUGAGAGGAUGAACGGCCACAUUGGAACUGAGACACGGUCCAAACUCCUACGGGAGGCAGCAGUGGGGAAUAUUGCACAAUGGGGGAAACCCUGAUGCAGCGACGCCGCGUGAACGAAGAAGGUAUUCGUAUCGUAAAGUUCUGUCCUAUGGGAAGAUAAUGACAGUACCAUAGAAGAAAGCUCCGGCUAAAUACGUG
rnacentral:rRNA from 1 species